rnacentral:rRNA from 1 species
CCCUUAGAUGUUCUGGGCCGCACGCGCGCUACACUGAUGCAUUCAACGAGCCUAUCCUUGACCGACAGGUCCGGGUAAUCUUUGAAUCUGCAUCGUGACGGGGAUAGAUUAUUGCAAUUAUUAAUCUUCAACGAGGAAUGCCUAGUAGGCGCAAGUCAUCAGCUUGCGUCGAUUACGUCCCUGCCGUUUGUACACACCGCCCGUCGUUUCUUCCGACUGAUACUCAUUGUGAAUUGCGGGGAUAACGUUGUUGAAAACCGUUGUAAAUGCUGGGUAUUGGAGGAAGAAAAAGUCGUAACA